AGUGAACGCUGGCGGCAGGCCUAACACAUGCAAGUCGAGCGGAAGCACAGUAAGAGCUUUCUCUUACGGGUGGCGAGUGUCGGACGGGUGGUGAAUGCAUCGCAUUCUACUUUUUCGUGGGGGAUAACGGAGAGAAAGUUACGCUAAUACCGCAUACAUCGUACGGGUUAAAGCAGGGGUGCUAUGGACCUUGUGCGUGUGAAUGAGCCGAGUCCGGAUUAGCUAGUUGGCUAGGCAAAGGCCGACCAAGGCGACGAUGCGUAGCUGGUCUGAGAGGAUGGACAGCCACACUGGAACUGAGACACGGUCCAGACUCCUACGGGAGGCAGCAGUAGGGAAUCUUGCGCAAUGGGCGAAAGCCUGAUCCAGCCAUACCGCGUGAGUGAUGAAGGACUUCGGGUUGUAAAACCCUUUUGUUGGGAAAGAAAAACAGCAGGUUAAUCCCCCGCUGUUCUGACGGUACCCAAAGAAUAAGCACCGGCUAACUUCGUG
rnacentral:rRNA from 1 species